ACCGACCUGGCUCACACCGGUUUAAACUCAGAUCAUGUAAAAUUUUAAAGGUCGAACAGACCUAAUCUAUUAGCUUYUUCACCAAUAAUAAAAUUUUAAUCCAACAUCGAGGUCGCAAUYUUUUUUUUCGAUAAGAACUYUAAAAAAAAUAACGCUGUUAUCCCUAAGGUAGUUUAUUCUUUUAAUCUAAACUUUAGGAUCAUUUUUUCAUAAAUAAAUGAUUUUUUUAAAAAAAAGUUCUUCUAAUUUUUUUAUCACCCCAACAAAAUACUUUAUAUGAUUAAAAAAUACUUUACACCAAAAUUUUUAAACCAUAUUAAAUAUUAAACUCUAUAGGGUCUUCUCGUCUUCAAUAUACACUUAAGCUUUUUUACUUAAAAAUAAAAUUCUAAUAAAUUUUUACAGAGACAGUCUUUUUCUCAUCAAACCUUUCAUACAAGCUUUCAAUUAAAAAACUAAUGAUUAUGCUACCUUCGCACGGUCAAUAUACCGCGGCCAUUAAAAUUUUCAUUGGGCAGGUCAGACCUAAA
rnacentral:rRNA from 1 species